rnacentral:rRNA from 1 species
UACGAAGGGGGCUAGCGUUGUUCGGAAUUACUGGGCGUAAAGGGCGCGUAGGCGGCCUUCUAAGUCGGACGUGAAAUCCCUCGGCUUAACCGAGGAACUGCGUCCGAUACUGAAAGGCUUGAAUCCGGGAGAGGGAUGUGGAAUUCCAGGUGUAGCGGUGAAAUGCGUAGAUAUCUGGAGGAACACCGGUGGCGAAGGCGGCAUCCUGGACCGGCAUUGACGCUGAGGCGCGAAAGCUAGGGGAGCAAACGGG